rnacentral:tRNA from 1 species
GUAGUGCGUCUGCCUUGUAAGCGCUAGGCCGCGGGUUCGAUUCCCGCCCGGGGCG